rnacentral:rRNA from 1 species
GACGAACGCUGGCGGCGUGCUUAACACAUGCAAGUCGAACGCAGUGGCGAACGGGUGAGUAACGCGUAAUCAACCUGCCCUUCAGAGGGGGACAACGGUUGGAAACGACUGCUACUCCCGCAAACUGCGGGGUGUGAUUGCGUCUGAUUAGACAGUUGGAGGGGUAAGGGCCCACCAAGGCGAUGAUCAGUAGCCGGUCUGAGAGGGUGAACGGCAACAUUGGGAGUGAGACACGGCCCAGACUCAGACGGGAGGCAGCAGUGGGGAAGCUUCCGAAAUGGACGAAAGUCUGACGGAGCAACGCCGCGUGAGGGAUGACGGCCUUCGGGUUGUAAAGCUCUGUUAAUCGGGACGCGGUACCGGAAUAGAAAGCCACGGCUAACUACGUGCCAGUAGCCGCGGUAAUAC